rnacentral:lncRNA from 1 species
AACAAGAGAAGAACUGACCUUCGACUGCAUUGCGCUCUUUUAGGAGCUCAGAGUUUGCCCCCUCCAAACGAGCGUUGGCCUCCCUAAGAGUGUGUUUGAUUUGAGGAAUGAAGUGAUCCAUCUUCUUCUCACUCCUCACUUUUUUAUUUGGUUUGGGGAAUAGAAUGGGUUGAUCCAUCACCACCCCAUUCCUCAUAAGCUAAUAAUUAGUAUAUACAUGAGGAGUGGGUUGAUUCCACCAAAAUUGAUGGAAUGAACUUAUGAUGUAUCACCUCAUGAAGCAUAGAGUGACUCCACAAACCAAACACACCGUAAGAGUCGACUUAGCCUCCUCGACCAGGGCCCUUGUCUCGCGGAGGACCCCUUGGAGUUGAGACCUCUCCUCUCGGAGGCGAUUUGCAUCACCUCGCGCAACGUCAUGCUCCGUGCGUAGGCUCGACGCCUCACCUUGAAGUCGAUCGACCUCGAGAUGGGCGGCCCUCGCGCGUAACUGCUCCAAUUCCACCUAAACGUACAACAAUGCCUCUGUCCAAGCCGUUAACCGCAUGAAGAGACACUACAAGGAACAAUCAGACAAUUUGUUGAAUAUCGACCGGAAAAAGAACAAGACAAGAGGAGCGAGCUAGAAGGGAGCACUCACAUGGCCAAAAGGGACAAAAUCUCGCGUCAUCGACACCCUGGCAAUCGAAGUCGCCUCUCCAAAACUACCAAGCAUGCGCUCAAUGGUCUCCAGGCUCAUGCCGGCCU